rnacentral:rRNA from 1 species
CAAUAGCGUAUAUUAAAGUUGUUGCAGUUAAAAAGCUCGUAGUUGGAUUUGUGGCGUACGGUGUGUUCCGGGCACUUGUUGUCUGAGUAACCUGCUGUUGCCAUCCUUGGGUGGAACCUGUGUGGCAUUAGGUUGUCGUGCAGGGGAUGCCCAUCAUUUACUGUGAAAAAAUUAGAGUGUUCAAAGCAGGCUUAUGCCGUUGAAUAUAUUAGCAUGGAAUAAUGAGAUAGGACUUUUUUGCUAUUUUGUUGGUUUGCGCAAAGAGGUAAUGAUUAAUAGGGACAGUUGGGGGUAUUCGUAUUCCAUUGUCAGAGGUGAAAUCCUUGGAUUUUUGGAAGACGAACUACUGCGAAAGCAUUUACCAAGGAUGUUUUCAUUAA